rnacentral:lncRNA from 1 species
UGUGGGUGCUAUAUCUGAUUACGGUGGGGGAGGAGGGGUAACAAGCUUGUAUAUAUAUUAUUUAGAUAAGAGAUUCGAUUACAGUAUCAAUUAAUUACAAACCACCGCAACCAAACAUAUGUAAUGAGAUUCGUUACCUUCACUAAUCAGAUUACAUUAUAUUUGAGCCAACCAAACACUACCUAUGCCGCUGCUAGCAACGCGAGGGAAGGGGAACGUGCUUUCCAGGACUGUUCCGAAUAGCAGCCUCAGUAGUCACUACGGUACGUCAGUACAGUGCUGCGUUGACUUGGUCGCCGCCGGGUCCACGUGAAUAAAUAUCUGGACUAAGAAAAUAUAAACUGUACUCCCUCCAUGAUAUUUGAGGUGCCCAGCGGGUCCAUGAUAUUUGUGCUUCAUAAAUUUUCUUUUUAUUCUCGAGAGCAUUUCCAUUUAAAAUUGCGACGCUUAUUUUAUAUUAUUAGAAAUAUUUUAUCAGCAUUGUAAAGUUCAUUACUCCCUCCAUCCCAAAAUAUAAGUUGCUUUGACUUUUUUGUACAUCCACUUUGCUAUGCAUCUAGACAUAUAUUUUAUAUCUAUAUACAUAGCAAAGUGAAUGUAUCAAAAAAAUCAAAACGACUUAUAAUUUGGGAUGGAGGGAGUAGUUGCGAAGCAGUUUUGUUGCAUUGUAAAUUUUUAAGACUAACACAAUUUUCAAGAGGCUGUAGGAUUUGCACAAAUAUCGUAAUGGGUAAGGUAUGGUGUACUUUUUACAAGCAAAGUUGAGUAUAGGGUGGUGUUGUAUUUUCUUUGUUGACAGAAGACUACACACUUUGUAGUUUGUACACACCCGGGCGUCAGCACAAGCUCUCUACUUGGUUUAUUCGCACGGCCAAUCCUUUUUUUUUCUUUUACCAACGGGACAACAUGUUAUGUAGAAUGAAAAAUUAAGCUUCUUCAUUUUCAUCCAGGUCCAGGAAUUACUUGGUUAAUUCCAGCCUUCAUUACAUUCCCGAGGGGAAAGAAAAAACUUUGGCAACUCGAGUGUUCCAUUGAUGCAAUCAUGAAUUAAUCGUGUGAUGUACACAAUUGUACUAAUGCACCUUUGUAAACAUAAUUAAGUUCAUAAAAAUGCACCAAAGGCCAUGUGUAACUGCAUUUUUCGUUGCAUGAGCAAUUGCUUCCGGAACUGUUUGGAAUGUAAAAAAAAGUCGAUACAGACCCAUUUAAACCCUGUCGGAAUUCGCCUGUCUGAAGUUAAGAAGGAUUUUACAGCGAUCAGUACAGUUGCCAUGGAAAUCCUGCUGGUUUGUCAAGCGUGAAUUAUUUUACAAUGGAGUCGUUAGUAGUACAAAUAAACUAGGCUUUUUGUCAUGUUGUAUUUGGCUCAAAAUAUGGUUUGCUCUCCCUUUCACCAGAUUCUCAGUUGGUACAUAAUCCCAGACAGAGCAACAUUGGUAGUUAUGCAACCCCUCCAACCCCAACCGUUUUGCAUCAGCCCCUCCUACCCUGACACCUUCAAGCAAGCCACCGUUCCCCUUGCUAUAUAAACACUGCCCCCACAAACCCUCUAAUCAAAUCAUCUCAAACCCCCAUCCUCUCUUGUCUCUCCAUCUCUCCGACACCCUCUUUCUCCCUCUAAACUCUCCUCUCUCUAGAACCAUCACCAGUAGUUCUCUCUCUCCGACGCACAUCGUCAACCAUGGUGAGUGGCAUGCCACUACAUGAUCAGCUUCAGCUUAGUUGCUCAAGAUUAUGUUGCUGCUGUACAGCAGUUGCUGAUCAGCAUGCAUCAUCUUUUGCAACCAUUUUAUUGACACCAUGUUUUGGAAUGUUGAUGCAGGUUGUUGAGAUGAAGGAGAACGGCGUGGCGGCGGCGGCGGACGCGGGCGAGAAGGUGGCGCAGCCGCAGCUGAACGUGAAGCGCGGCGAGCCGACGCUGGUGCCGCCGGCGGCGCCGACGCCGACUGGGGAGCAGUACUACCUCUCGAAUCUGGACCAGAACAUCGCCGUGAUCGUGCAGACGGUGUACUGCUACAAGCCCUCACCCCCCGGCGAUGGCAAGGACAAGGACGACGUGGCGACGGCGCUCCGCGACGCGCUGGCGCGCGUGCUGGUGCACUACCACCCGCUGGCGGGGCGGCUGGGGAUCAGCCCGGAGAUGAAGCUGACGGUGGAGCUCACCGCCGAGGGCGUCGUCUUCGUGGAGGGCGACGCCGACUGCGACCUCGCCGUCGUCGGCGACCUCACCAAGCCCGACCCCGCCGCGCUCGGCCAGCUCGUCUACUCCGUCCCCGGCGCCAAGCACAUCCUCGAGAUGCCCCCCAUGACCGCGCAGGUACGUUUUACUCGUACGCACGCGACGCCAUUAAUUAACUGCUCCCUUGCACGCUUCCGGUUGGGUGUCCGGCGGCCGAGGCAGCCCGGCGCGAGUUGCCACCUAUGGAGCCAUGGCGUUAAUGGCGAGAUGCCGAGAUGGGGUUGGGGACUUGGGAGAGAGAUGGAAAGGUGGCUCGUGCACGUAUCGAUGCGUGCGCGCCCGCCCGUGCCACUUUUUACUGCGGCCGCGUGAACGUUCAGGAAUGGGGUUGAAAGGUUGGCAGGGGGCAUUGGAGGUUGAGGAGAUGAAUUUAAUGAGAUGCCGGUAGCAUAGGAAACAGAACAACGGAAACGGGAAGUUUACUGGUCCAACCUUGGGACUUGGCCUAGCUUGGAGCACGGGCAAGUUUCUCGAUUUGUCUACGUGAAAUUACUACUGCGUCCAAAGAGGUGGUAACGUACUCUGGUCUUGUGAAAAGAUUGGAACGGCUAUUAGAAGCUUGUUUUAAUUCUUUUGCUUCAAAAAGAGAGAAUUUUUUUCAUUAACAUGAGUUGAGGAGGAAAGGUUAAGUUUUGUGCCGUAUUCAAGUUGAAUUAGUUUGAAUUUGUCAGUAUUUCAGUCAAGUCAGCCUGUUUAAAUGUUUUCCUGACACUUGUACUAGUGUACUUGUCUGUGCAUUACUCGUAGUACUCAUAUCCGGUCCACCACGUGCGAAUUUCCUGCAUGUGUUAGUGUUGGUUCAAAGAAUUUGUCAAUAAUUUGUUUGAUUUUCAAUGUGGGUGGUUGUAGCACAUUACCAACUAAAAGCUAUAGUGCUGUACUACAGGAUUGCAUACUCUUUGGGGGUGUUUACUGUUAAGCCUCUGUUUGGUUUUCCUGUUGGAAUGAGACAACUCCUGUUGGGAAUGUUUUUCAUUGUCAAUAGUAGUUCUGUACUUGUUUAGAUGUAUUUAAUUAAUAUUUGUUCAAAGAUUCUGUCCAUCAUUAAAAAAAGAUUUUGUGUCCAUAGUUUGGUGAUUUGUAGGUGGGGUGGUUACAGUAGGCUAGUAGAGUACCAGGUAAACGUUUGUACGUGCAACAAGAUAGCAGGAUCUACGAUAGUAGUUGCAUAAGCACUAAAUGUGUUUUUGUGAAAUGUUAGAUCACCAACCUGUACCUACAAUCAACAAACCACAGCACGUUGUCCUGCCACUGCCAUGUCCCGCACAAUGACACGAUGAUGAGUGAUGUUGUCCUCACGUGCGGGGCCAAAGCUGACGUGGAAAAUUAAUCCAUACAUGACUACUAGUUCCAUCAGCAACUCAUAUUUCAGAUCAGACUCCGCAUUAGCUUGGUUCCAAUCACGCAUAAGUAGUUCAUCCGUCAAAAGUACAAGUAGAACUAUUCAAAGUCGGCAUAGCAUAUAUCUGUUCCAAAUUUGGCUCGAAUUUGUCAGUAAUUACUCCUGCAAGUUUGUUUUCUAACCACGGGUUCGAAAUGAUUGAACCAUCCGCAGGUGACGAGGUUCAGCUGCGGCGGCUUCGCGCUGGGCCUGGCGAUGAACCACUGCAUGUUCGACGGCAUCGGCGCCAUGGAGUUCGUCAACUCGUGGGCCGAGACGGCGCGCGGCGCCGCCGAGCUCACCGUGCCGCCGUUCCUCGACCGCUCCCUCCUGAAGGCGCGCGACCCGCCGGCGCACACCUUCCCGCACCACGAGUUCGCCGAGAUCCCCGACGUCUCCGACACGGCGGCGCUCUACGGCUCCCAGGAGCUCCUCUACCGCUCCUUCUGCUUCGACCCGGACCGCCUCGAGCGCGUCCGUGCGCUGGCGCUCGCCGGCGGCGACCUGGCCCGCUGCACCACCUUCGAGGCGCUCUCGGGCCUCGUGUGGCGCGCGCGCACCAGGGCCCUGGGCCUGGCCCCCGAGCAGCGCACCAAGCUGCUCUUCGCCGUCGACGGGCGGCGCCGCUUCGUGCCACCGCUGCCCCGUGGCUACUUCGGGAACGGCAUCGUGCUGACGAACGCGAUCGCCACCGCCGGCGAGCUGCUGUCGGCGCCGGUGUCGCGCGCGGCGGCGCUGGUGCAGGACGCGGUCCGGAUGGUCACCGACGAGUACAUGCGGUCGGCGGUGGACUACUUCGAGGCGACGAGGGCGCGGCCGUCGCUGGCGUCGACGCUGCUCAUCACCACGUGGUCCAGGCUCGAGUUCCACGGCGCCGAUUUCGGGUGGGGCGAGCCCGUCAUGUCGGGCCCCGUCACGCUGCCGGAGAAGGAGGUCAUCCUCUUCCUCGCCCACGGCAAGGAGAGGAAGAGCAUCAACGUCCUGCUCGGCCUGCCGGCCACCGCCAUGGACGCCUUCCAAGAGCUCAUGGACGAGAUAUGAUGGAUUCUGCCGGUGAUGACGACGAGCUCCGUGGCCGCGGCGGGAACGGCGGUUGGGACAGCGACAGACAUGGGUGCUAUACAUACAUACAUAUAUAUAAAUGCAGGGUGCUUUUAUGCUUAAGUUGCUCGGGGUUUAUAGUAUGGUUGUGUUGAUUAUGGUGCGUGUGUGUUGAUAUGCAAUCUAUGUUGGUGUUUACUGGAUAUAUGAGAAUUCAUUAUCAGCUGUAAUGGUUUUUGUUUAAUGAAAAAUAGCAGCUGCCGUUGCUUUAAUUUGCAAAAACUUCCGUCCAACGAAAAUUAGGCUAAUUGUUUUUCAAUGGUUUUUCUUGUACAUCUGUGUCUUUCUGCAACAGCCCAAAUACCACAAGCAUGACACGGAUCAUGUCAUGCCGAAGAAAAAAAAACGUGUUGGCAGCCGGCACCGAAUUCUGGACCUAUUUGGUUUCACAUGCUUAUGCAUAAGCAACUUAAAAUAAACAAAUAAGUUGCUUAUGAAACCAAUAACUCUUACUUAUGGGGUUGCUUAUUAUCAGCAAAUAAGGGCCUGUUUAGUUUCACAUGCUUAUGCAUAAGCAACUUAAAAUAAGCAAAUAAGUUGCUUAUAAAACCAAUCACUCUUGCUUAUGGGGUGCUUAUUAUAAGCAAAUAAGCGACUCUUGGGUUGCUUAUGGUUGCUUAUGGGGACUAUUCAAUACACUUUACACCUCUUGCGCUCAUUGAAUGCUUGUUUGCCCUCCCUCCCUCUCUCUCAAUGAUUAAGGGCAAAUAUGACAAUAUCCACCUCAUUCAAUACUUAUAAGCAAGGGUAUCUAAAUAGCUGAACUAAAAAUAAGCAACUCCAAAUAAGCAACUUUAAGUUCCUUAUAAUAAGCAACUCAAACCAAACAGACCCUAAGCAACUCUUGGGUUGCUUAUGGUUGCUUAUGGGGACUAAAAGAUGCACUUUACACCUCUUGCCCUCAUUGAAUGCCUGGUUGCCCUCCCUCUCUCUCUCAAUGAUUAGGGGCAAACAUGACAAUAUCCACCUCAUUCAAUGCUUAUAAGCAAGGGUAUCCAAACAGCUGAACUACAAAUAAGUAACUCCAAAUAAGCAACUUCAAGUUGCUUAUAAUAAGUAACUCAAACCAAACAGGCUCUCUGUAUCACUUUCCCAAGGCCCCAAUAUGAGAUGACUGAGGGGUCGUUUGGAUCACGCAUUAUGUGAAAAUCAGAUUUCAGAAAACUCAUUUUAAGCCAACAACCCUAAAAACGUUGUUGUUUGGAUAGACCAACAAACUCGCAUGCAGAGAAAAUUGGAUUCCCACGAAACCUGAAUUUUAAGUUUUACCAAAAAACGAGUACUUGUUGUUUUUAACAAAAACUAGUUUUCCGUAUCCUCAUCUUGACAAGUUUUUUCCGGCCUCACGUUCGGAGUACAAUGAUAGAAUCACCAUUAUUUGUGAAAGCUUCAGUUUAUUUGGCGCAGCCAAACACGGCAUUACUAACAAACGUUUCCAAUUUUUUUACCUAAACAAUGUUUAGAAUUCUAAAAAACAAAGGCUAACCGAAUAACAACUUAAAACCAGUUUUCCCAAAAAGCCUCUUAAAACCUGUUUUAGUAACACUAGUUCUAUUUUUUAAGAUCCAAACAACCACGGAGAGAGCAGAGGAGUACUCUGUUUCCUCUGCUACAUCUGUGUCAAAACUCAAAACAGAGCAUGCACAUCUGAAAAACAGGAGCCAGAAAUCAGAGCAUGCACAUCUUGAAAACAGGGAGCCGGAAAACAGAACACUCGUCUUGGUUCGUCGUGCCGCUGCCCCGCUCCUCGUCGUAGUGUUUGUCCUCCGACUCUCGACGUUUGAGCGAAGCAGAUCAGCAAGCAGCUUAACAUGGCAGCGGCAAUGUCGGCAACGUGCUCAGCAGCAGGCAUAGCCGCCGUGCUGUUGGCACCGGUCCUGUUCAUGCCGCUGUUUUCGGCCGGCUUCCACAACGUGCAGAACCAGGACAACUUCAUCGUCGCCAUGUAUGGCUGCUUCAAUCGCUUGAGGGAUGCUCCCAGGGUGUUCGAUGAAAUUAGAAAGGAGCGGAGGCGCGCCAGGGGGGCCUGGCCACGUCGCCCCGUCGCCGCGCGCCGCGCGAUCGCCAGCGGACGGCGCCGAUGCACCUAUGCCUUUCCUGGACCGGUUGCGACCUCCAUCGGUCAGGUCCCGCUCCCACCCCCGGCGCCGCCGUCGCGUCAAUGCUCGGUCGUCACCGGAAAAUCGACGUCGCCUUUCCCACGGCUCCAUGCCUCUGUCUGCGGCGUCGUACCCUGCGGCGACGUGCGGGGUCUGGAUAGCGGUAUGGGUGGGUGCUAUUAGGUGGCUAGCGUGUCGCAGAUGACAACCGAGGACGGUGCUUGGGUUUUCUUUUCUCAUCCAUCAGCCCCCGGAAGUAACCAAAGAGAUUGGAAGGGAUGGGGAGCUCUCACCCGCGUGCCCCUGCUUGGCGGCGACGUGGAAGAAGACGUCAAGGUCGAGGCGGGAGCGGACGGUGGUGGCCUCGAGGUCAUAGAGCGGGAGGAAGCGGCGGAUGAUCUCCUCGCCCCCGGCCUCCACGGCCACGUACAGCGUGGUCUCCCUAGCGUCCGUCUGCGCGCCGGCGAGCGCGGCCAGGGAGGUGCCUGAGGCUUCGGCGUCGGCCAGGAGCGCGCGGACGGCGGCCGCGUCGGCGAAUCGGGCCGUGGCGAAGAGUGCAGUGGCAGAGCGGCGAAUCGGGCCGCUGUCACUCUGCUUCCUGAUGCCUUGAUUUAUUGGUGGUGGUGGACUCGGUUUGCUUUACAUGAGUGCUCUGCUUCGUAUUCCUUUUCUCCGUGGGAUUAUCACCAAGUGGGGCAGAAAGCGAGACGGCGAGGAGCCUUUUGAACGGACGCCCGAUUGACGCGCAUCGUGAGGCAAUGGAUUUGCUGUGCGUUGCCCGGGCGGAGAGACUGGGCCCGCGGCGACGGCACACAGUCGGCCCCGAUGUGCUGACUAUAGAUGAUGGACCGCUCGGCACUAGCCUAAUUUGGUCCCGGCUCGACUAGGCCCGACACAAUUAGGCUGAGGGUUUUUUCAUGCCGGGUCGGACCGGCAAAACGUGACGAACUGCUGACCUAGGCUCGACACUAUGGCCUUUGUAUCGUGCUAGGCCGGCCCGCUAGCACGGUUGGCACUACUGUGCUAGUGCCGGCCCAAGCACUAGCAGCGGCGGCUGUGCCCUCCCCCUCCCCCGACGGCGGCAGUUGGUGCACUUCCUUGCCGACGCGGGGAAGGCCAGAAGGGGCGGCGCCUGGCGAGGAGUGAGGGCGGCUCGCGAUGCUAGGGUGAGGAGGGGCGGCUGGCAAACGUCGCGGGGAGGGAAGGAGCAAGAAGUAGGCGGCGCCUGGGAAUGAGUGAGGGUGGCUGGCGGCGCGGCGGGUGAGGAUCGGCGGCCGACAGUGGCCGGCACACUUCCUUGCCGUCGUGGGGAGAAGAGGGGAGCAAGAAGGGGUAGCACUUGGGGAGGAGUGAGGGCGGCCUAGCGGCUGGCAAUGCCGUGCUUGGGGAGGACUGGAGGAGCAAGGCCGAAGGGGUGGCCGGUGCUGUGGGCGGGGAGUAGCCGCCGCCGAGUGAGGGAAAUGAGAAGAGAAUGGAGAGAGUUAGGGUUUGGGAGAAAGCAUGCCUUUAACAUGCCGGUGGGAUAGAGGAGGGGGAAGCAGACCUUUAACAAGCCGGUUAGUAGUCUAAGGCCUGCUAAGUUAACGGACCACCAUCAUGCCGGACAAAAAUCGUGCCGGGCUUGGGACAACACUACGGGCCGGGGAGGUGGCCUAGGGGUACCGGGCCAGCCCGGGCACUACCCAUACUUAACGGACCACCAUCAUGCCGGACAAAAAUCGUGCCGGGCUUGGGACAACACUACGGGCCGGGGAGGUGGCCUAGGGGUACCGGGCCAGCCCGGGCACUAUCCACUAUGGGUUGGGCCAUGCUAGUGUCGUGCUACGGGCCGCACAGCGGAUCUGGCCCAUUUGGGCAUCUAUAGUGCUGACAACGUAUGGUGAGGGCUAGCGCCUCUUUCUACUCCUCCGCCCCGGCCUCCGGCCAUCCUCGAUGCCUGGUGUCACCGCUCGUCGAGGAACCAAGAUGGUGUUACCGCCAGCGCUGCGAAAGGCGCACGUGGGUGCGACGAAGAAGACAUGGACUUGCAAGCGUGGGCAUCUCCCUCACGCACCCGUGCAACCUCCCAUGGUGCAGAGCUCGCCGGCGAGUGACCCAGCAGGCAUAGUGGAUGACGAUAUGGACGACGCCCAGAAGGUGCUCGAGGAAUUGCCUCCAAGGUAAGAUGAUCACUGAAUAGUUAGUUUUUUCAGUUUUAGCAAGUAGCAACUGACGUUUGCUCCGUCCGUUUUCUGCUCGCAGAGAAGAUCCUUCAUGAAUCCAUGUUCUUGCUGUUACAAAUUGCCAUGGAUUUGUGACUCACCAAAGAGCGGCACCUGACAAGGAUGUAUUGCACGGGGUGUGCUGCGCCACGGAUAGAAACAAAAGCGAAUUCUUUGGGGGCAACAGUUCGUUUGUGCUGUUGCCGGAGAAGCAUGUACAACAUUCCUUUCUAUUACUUUCUGAUUAUCAGAUUGAGUGACAAGAAAACUACUGUCAAUGUCCUGUGUUAUGUCCUUGCUGCUAUUGGAUGCAUGUUCUUCAGCCAUGGCUCGAGAUGAUGCGAUCUCCACUUCAUGUUGCUCAUUGUUCUCAACUGCCAUCCUGAAAAAUCAACAACAACCAAGCUAUAUUUAAGGCCAGUACAUAGUUUUGAAAAUAGAGGUAAUGCUCGCCUACUGCUACUGCCUCUUGCCAGCUUAUCUGCUACCAUACAAAGUCAUUUUAUUGAGAAGGCCAUUCUUAUGUUCUGAGAUUAUGUGUUGGAAUACAAAUCAUGAAGGAAGUAGUGAUUAUCAACAAGUACUAAAUGAAAUUUUCUGGAUUGGCAUAUUAAGAAUUGAAGGUAAACAGGAAUAAUCUGCUUGCCUGACAAGCACUUCAACUUCAGCGAAGUGUUUUUUGCUGAGAUCGUUUACAGCCGCAUGUGACUUCUUCCAUUGCUGAACAGCAGAGUCAACAGUAAACGCGCUGGGUACGUCAAAGUGCAGAAGAUUGUUCAGAUAAUCCAAUUUUCAAUGGAUGAAAGAAUGAACAAAAAGGUCCAUGUGAUUGUUCAGACAUACCACUCCUGCAACAUGGUUUCCAUGCGACACUGCUUAGCUGCAGAAGAGCUGGAGCCAACUUUGCAGUCAUUCUCCGCCUGCUCUGCAAAUAUCUCCCACUUCCUCUUGGCAUCUUUUGUGACGCACUCCAUGGCUGAUGUGUGUUCAUCUAAAAAAGGCUACUCAUGCAUCCCCCCUUCUUGGUGCUGCAGGUAUUACCCAAGAGAUCAGCACAAUUCCUGUAUGUUUUGGCUUCUGCAAUAAUAGAGAAGAAGGUGCUGGCCCUUUUGACCUUCAUUGUGGAAAUAUUAUUGAAAUUUGGAUGGCACAAAAUGAUCUAACAUAUGUAAGAAACUGUUGUAUACUAAACUUUUAUAGUCCUUAGCAUUCUUGCAAAUAUAUGAAUUAUAGUUGUAGAUAUGCAUAACUAUCAAUAUGUGACUUGCAAUAGUUGGUCAAUUGCUCGGUUAAUUUGUAGCCUAGUCUAGCAAGAACAGCUCUGUCUUUCAUUAAGCUUUACAGUAUCGUACUACCAUGUAAUUUAUGGAGAAGGGGGCAUACCGUUGACGAAGUUAGUUCCCACAUCAGUAACAAUUCUGUUUACACAUUCCCCCCUUGAGAACCAAUAGAUCGACUUUGAGUCCUAGAAUCUUCUCCGCUCAUUUAAUUAAAUGUGUAACUAUAUUAGAUUUUCAAUUUCCAGUGUCACUGAUGCCAUAUAUGAUCUGCAUAAACUAGGGGUGCACAUUCAGAACGAAAUUGCUCUUGCUGCUUAUUUACAAAUUAAAAAAGCAAGUGAACAUGUUAAAUUCAGGUUAGUAGCUAGGGUGAAGUAAUUUGAUAUUUCUUCCACUAUUGGUUAUAUAUCUCCUGCAGCUAAGAUGUUCAAUGAUUUUGCCUUUAGCAAAGAGCUAUGAUGAUUAAACAAAAGGCUUUUUGUUUGGUAUGGAAUAAAAUCAUGAUAACUUGGAUCCAACCUACUAAAUAGCGGCCGCAAUACCGGUAGCGGCCUAUUGCCGCUAUCGCUACUAGGUAGCGGUUGGGCUGUUGCGGUUUGGAACUUUGCGGCCGCAAUUGCGCUAUAGCGGGCCGCAAUUGCGGUGGUAGCAAGCCGCAAUAGCGUGGAACAAAAAAAAAUCCUAAUAACCUAGCCCACCCACACAGACUCCACCGGUGCACCCCAUCGGCCAUUCGGCCUCGCCAUCUAGAACACGCCGCCACCCGUGUUAGUUGCCUGCCGCCACCGCCCUUCGCCGGCACCGCCGAUUCACAUGUAGUCUGGUACUCGAGCUCCUCCUGAUCCUCAUGGACCUUCGCCGUGUUACAUUCUUAAUUUAAGCAUGUGAGACAUCAGUUGUUUGUAUGCAAUUAAAUAUAUAUUUAUACUUAUUAUUCAUGAUAUAUAUAAUUUAAAUUAUGUGAGAUUAUUAGGUGCCACUAUUGGAACUUAUCGUCCACAAUAUCGCCCGCUAUCUGCAAUCCGCUACCUCGACGUCAAUCCGCUACCAACCCGCUAUUCGCUAUUUAUUACCUUGCUUGGAUCUAUUAAUAAUAUUUGAUCCAUAUUGUUUGUUAGUUUCUGUAUGUGGCAUCUUUUAUUAUCACCUUUUUAGUAGAGUAUAUUUUAAUUUACUUUUAGCAUAUGUCUAGAAAAAUAUUUACACUGCUCCCUUCAAAAAGAGUUUGCAUGCUUGAUAACUUAUUUUGGUUGGACUUCGAGCUGCCUCUGAUAUGACCUGAAUUUUUAGGAUGUCCAAUAAUAAAUCUAAUGUGGACAAACAAAGUAUCUAUUUAGUUUAUACUUUAUAUGUAUCAUGCAAUUGCUCUUUUCAUGUAUUUUAUUAAAACACUGAAAAAGGUUAAGGGAAAGUCAGGUGCACACCAUAUUCAGUUUAGAUAGCAAUAAGUGGUUUAAUCAUGGCUUACUUUUUUUAACGGAGCUGUGUUUCUUGCUCUUACUUAGCAAGAAGAAAAUACAGAGGCAUAUAUAAAGAUAAUCCAUAUAAAGGUGCCAUGCAGGUGUAGAUGACUGCAAGCAAAUAAACGGAUAUGCCAAUUUGCUGGUAUUGUUUGAUGGAAAUCACACCUAACAAAUAAGGCAAGGCAGAGAAAUGAUUUUUUAAAUUUCACUUAAAGCGAUCUAAUAAAGCUGGGCCAUGGGCAUACACAAACAUUCAUAAUAGUGUUAUUCAAAACUAAACACUUUUUCUAUCCUAAGGGUACAGUUCAAUUUGAAGAUGGAAAAUACACUUUGAUGCUAGGAAAGCCAAAUCUAAAGUACUAUUGUUGAAGAUGGCCGAGAUAACUAGAAACCUUUGUUUCUACCAAGAUUCUUUACCAGAUUGAAAUUUCCAUGCGAAAGAGGUAAUGUUCUAUUUUUUUCAUUGUAGGCAUGGCUUUUCCUUCCUAGAAUCUCAUAACACGGAAAUAUUAUAUUUGACUUAAAUAUAGUAUGCAUAUGUUCAUAAUGGAGAAACAUUAUAGUACAUUGAAAAUUUCUUCCUAUGUUUGAUAAAAUAUCAUUGCUCAGCAGGUGUGCCUUCCCGGGAAUCAUUUUGGAGAACAAUUAUUUCAAGGAAUUGUGUGUUGGAUGAAAAAAAAAAUGCUCAUAAAAUAUUGGUUGCUAGAUGAAAAUUUCUGAAACAAUUCAGUCUCUCCUUUUCCCUCAUAUGUUUGCUAGAUCCCGUGAUUAAAUUAACGAAAGCUCCAUUAUGUUGCUUCAGACAACCUUUCUUUUCACAUUGCUUUGUGUGGUUUGCAAUUUCUAUACGUGUGCCUCCUAUACCAGUUGGAUUUCUGCUGACAAACUUACCCAUGUAUUACUUCUUUCUAACAGCGACUACAAGGUUUGUCAGAUGGUUCCUUGACAAUGGGUAUCCACACCACCAUCUGAACUGAAGCUGUGUGAAGAAAUACAUCAGUUGUACAAUGGGUAUGUGAAUAGGCUGUUUAACUAAAUUUUAUAGUUUUGUGGUUCAAAUGUAUGAUGUUUUGAUUUAAGCAUAAGGACUCUUAUUUUCCAGUAUAUAUAAAUCAUCUUGCAGCAAGUGUUGAACUGCAGCAAGUGUUGAACUGUUGAUACGUUUAUUCCUAGCUGUAGUGCACUAGAGAAAAAUGGUUAUAAAAAUUUAGUAUGUAGUUUUGCAAAGCAGGUGCUUCUGUUACUUUUUACACUGUCUGCCCAGCCCAAUCGCUGCAAGACACAAUGCCUUGGAUCUGAUGUGCUUAUGAUAUAUGCAUUUUCCUUCUCCUUUUCAACAACCAUAUGUGCACUGAUGUUAAUUUAUUAUGUAGUAUUAGCUUUUUAUCGCCCAUAUAAGAUGAUCCUUUGGUAUUCUCAUUUUGAGACCACAAACCGAAGCUGAUCUACAUAAGAAAGGGUGGAACAACACGCUAAAGAAUGCAUGUGUAGACCAGAAUGCCAAGAAUUACAAUUUUCAGUAGUAAUUAUGAGUUGAUGACUCAAAGGGUAGCUAUAUAUGGGAAUGAGAACAAAGCUGAGAAGAAGCUCUACAUAUAGAUAGGGGGAGUGUACUCAAGAAAUGUGUACUGAAUUCUAUUUAUUUCUUAUAUAAUACAGUUUGUGAAAUUUAGGUUUCUUAGAUGAUUUUAGGAAGGCGAACCUACUGCAAAUGAAUUUCAUAACAUAUUGGGAUGCCCGAUUCAGUGAAUUGCUAUCUGAUCUUUAUCUUUUCCUUUGAAAAAUAUUUAGCACAUGGCCUUCAUAAAAUCAACUUUUGGAGAUUUUUCUUCCCUAAUCACCAGCUACCUUUCGUGACACGCAUAAUGAUCAGGCGCAUUCAUCAAAUAACGACGGUGCGCGGGUGCGCGCCCCAGCCACUAGUUCUCAUUGGGAAUGCCCGGUGACUAGAGCUCACGGUUCUCCCACGACGUGCGCUGCGCUCUGAUCAUCCUCCCACUGCCCACCUCCGCCUACCGCGAUAGCGCCGACGUCCUAGCGCUGGGAUGCGCCGUCCUCGCACAUGCACAUAGUGCAAGGGCCCCUCGGGCUCCCCUCUCCCUCCACACCCUGUCUUCCUCAGUAUCUCCGGGCGACCACUGACUUUAGGUACGUGUCCUGCUGCAAAUUGCCAUGCCAUAUGGGGUCUUCCGGGGUGUCUAGAAAGUAGAAACGGAGCAUUCGUGUUACACUGUUGACACUUACAUGCAGAUCAGGAGAAGGAACUUCCGGAGUGCUUACGCAGUUGCACUUCUACAGCAGUAAUAAACAAGAUUUGCGUACACAAGAAUUCUACUGCACAUGAACUGCGAGCUCUGAUCUCAUAAUUUUUUUUAAAAAAAGAACUCACAAUGACAAUCUACCGUUAAUUUAUGACUGGGACAAGUGUCCUCUAAACGUCUAUUUCCUCGCAUCGCGAUGUCUAGGAUGACGUGGAAAAAGCAGGACACGUCCAUUCAUUUAAACCAUAGUGCUAAUGAGGUGGCUCAUUUGUUGGCUAGGGAGGGUGAGCUCAUUGCUUACUCAAUCUUCCGACAUUAUAUUCCUGGUUGCAUCCACGAUGUUGUAAACUCUGAAAGUUUGUGUUAAUGAAUGGGCUGACCUUGAUCUCAAAAAGAAAAAGUAAGCUGUUCCUCCCACCUUUAAAAAUAAAAAAA